rnacentral:rRNA from 1 species
UAGAGGAAGUAAAAGUCGUAACAAGGUUUCCGUAGGUGAACCUGCGGAAGGAUCAUUAUUGAAUAAAACUUGAACAGGCUGUUUUUUAUGCUGGCUCCCCUAGGGGGGCAUGUGCACGCUUGUCAUUUUUUUGUUUCUCCAACUAUGUGCACACAUUGUAGACCCCUGGUGUUUUAUUAGAGUCUUGUAUAGAUUUGAUUGAGGAUUGCUAUGCUUUCCUUGCAGGUGUCUAUUCUUUCACUACCUUUGAUGUUUGAAUGGAAAUUAAUAAAUAAAAAAGUUUAUACAACUUUCAGCAACGGAUCUCUUGGCUCUCGCAUCGAUGAAGAACGCAGCGAAAUGCGAUAAGUAAUGUGAAUUGCAGAAUUCAGUGAAUCAUCGAAUUUUUGAACGCAUCUUGCGCUCCUUGGUAUUCUGAGGAGCAUGCCUGUUUGAGUGUCAUUAAAACUUCUCAAAGCCUAUGUCCAAAAAAAGAUGUGGCUUUGGAUGAUGGGGGUCUUUGCAGGCUUCAAAAGAAAGUCAGCUCUCCUGAAAUGUAUUAGUGGUAUCUGAGGGACUACUUUGGGCAUGAUAAAUUUGUCUAUGUCUUUGUAAUGGUCUCAAUAUGAAACACUUGAAAUCUUUUGUUUUUCACACUCUUUGACUUGACCUCAAAUCAGGUAGGACUACCCGCUGAACUUAAGCAUAUCAAUA